AAGGGCAUGCGCCAAACAAGGAAGAAAAUCUUCAUACGCUCAAGUGCAACUAAAGGAUUUCUCCUAGGCGCGACACAUCAACAAUCCGCAUGAAGGACAUAUGUCACGGCCUAAGAAGAUCACACGUGCAUCCCGAGAGCGCUUCCCCCUUUGCAUUUCAGCAUGUGACUCGCAUGGGAGAAGUUUGAAUUAGAAUUUGAAUUUUUCUCCAUGUGGUUGAUUAGAAACGUAUUUCAUGCUCACCUUCCCCAUUUGAUUUUCAGCAUCUGACCCGCAUGGGAGAAGUUUGAAUUUGAAUUUUCUCCCCAUGCGGCUGAUUAGGAAGUAGUUUUAAUUAUCCCGCCAAUAAGCCAUGUAUGGCGUAUGAGUCUUAGGUCUAUAUAAGGAAGUCCUAGGCCUUUUGUGAGGCAUAAAUCUUUGAUCAAUUAUCAUUUAGCUCUUUUGAGUUGUAAGUCCCUUAGGGAGUCGGCCGCAAGGCUUAGGCUAGAGUGUAGGAUAAAUCAAUCCUCUCUAGAUUGUAAAUGCUAGAUGGUCCCUUCCCGACCUUACUAGCAUCUCUUUUUCUUUCGUUGUUAUUGGAAUUCGAAGCCACAUCCUUUUCUUCCAUCCGAGUUCAUUGCAUGGUGUGUGUUUCAAGUCGAGCGCUAGAAUAGGAUUUUAGGCGAAUAGGUGAGAGUUUCAAGCAGCAAGAGAUAGUCGCGUUACCCACAAAUCGGUCCUACACAAUCGACAUCGACAAUUCCUCAAGUGUAGGAUCAUUGGCGUGGGGCUCUUGGACCGUGCAUAGCCGACCCCGCCAACACUGGUGCUUUCAUUGAGAUCUUCGUCGGGAGAAGUUCCAAGAGAAGCUCCGUCGAA
rnacentral:lncRNA from 1 species